CGGAGCAAUACCGCGUGAGGGAUGACGGCCUAUGGGUUGUAAACCUCUUUUUUCAGGGAGGAAUAAAUGACGUGUACCUGAAGAAUAAGCAUCGGCUAACUCCGUGCCAGCAGCCGCGGUAAGACGGAGGAUGCAAGUGUUAUCCGGAAUCACUGGGCGUAAAGCGUCUGUAGGUGGCUCAAUAAGUCAACUGUUAAAUCUUGAGGCUCAACCUCAAAAUCGCAGUCGAAACUAUUAGGCUAGAGUAUAGUAGGGGUAAAGGGAAUUUCCAGUGGAGCGGUGAAAUGCGUAGAGAUUGGAAAGAACACCGAUGGCGAAGGCACUUUACUGGGCUAUUACUAACACUCAGAGACGAAAGC
rnacentral:rRNA from 1 species